AGCUUUGCGCAGUGGCAGUAUCAUAGCCAAUGAGGUUUAUCCGAGGUGCAAUUAUUGCUAAUUGAGUUUCUCAUUUAAAAGUUUGGUUUAGAAGAAAUCCAAUGUUUACUCUUUUGAUAUUUCAUGAUUUAAAGAAA